GACGAACGCUGGCGGCGUGCCUAAUACAUGCAAGUAGAACGCUGAAGGAGGAGCUUGCUCUUCUGGAUGAGUUGCGAACGGGUGAGUAACGCGUAGGUAACCUGCCUGGUAGCGGGGGAUAACUAUUGGAAACGAUAGCUAAUACCGCAUAACAGUAGAUGUUGCAUGACAUUUACUUAAAAGGUGCAAUUGCAUCACUACCAGAUGGACCUGCGUUGUAUUAGCUAGUUGGUGGGGUAACGGCUCACCAAGGCGACGAUACAUAGCCGACCUGAGAGGGUGAUCGGCCACACUGGGACUGAGACACGGCCCAGACUCUUACGGGAGGCAGCAGUAGGGAAUCUUCGGCAAUGGACGGAAGUCUGACCGAGCAACGCCGCGUGAGUGAAGAAGGUUUUCGGAUCGUAAAGCUCUGUUGUAAGAGAAGAACGAGUGUGAGAGUGGAAAGUUCACACUGUGACGGUAUCUUACCAGAAAGGGACGGCUAACUACGUG
rnacentral:rRNA from 1 species